ACGCUAGCUACAGGCUUAACACAUGCAAGUCGAGGGGAAACGGCAUUAAGUGCUUGCACUUUUUGGACGUCGACCGGCGCACGGGUGAGUAACGCGUAUCCAACCUUCCCAUGACUAAGGGAUAACCUGCCGAAAGGCAGACUAAUACCUUAUGGUCUUCACUGACGGCAUCAGAUGUGAAGUAAAGAUUUAUCGGUUAUGGAUGGGGAUGCGUCUGAUUAGCUUGUUGGCGGGGUAACGGCCCACCAAGGCAACGAUCAGUAGGGGUUCUGAGAGGAAGGUCCCCCACAUUGGAACUGAGACACGGUCCAAACUCCUACGGGAGGCAGCAGUGAGGAAUGUUGGUCAAUGGGCGAGAGCCUGAACCAGCCAAGUAGCGUGCAGGAUGACGGCCCUAUGGGUUGUAAACUGCUUUUGUAUGGGGAUAAAGUCAAUCACGUGUGAUUGUUUGCAGGUACCAUACGAAUAAGGACCGGCUAAUUCCGUGCCAGCAGCCGCGGUAAUACGGAAGGUCCGGGCGUUAUCCGGAUUUAUUGGGUUUAAAGGGAGCGUAGGCUGGAGAUUAAGUGUGUUGUGAAAUGUAGACGCUCAACGUCUGACUUGCAGCGCAUACUGGUUUCCUUGAGUACGCACAACGUUGGCGGAAUUCGUCGUGUAGCGGUGAAAUGCUUAGAUAUGACGAAGAACUCCGAUUGCGAAGGCAGCUGACGGGAGCGCAACUGACGCUGAAGCUCGAAGGUGCGGGUAUCGAACAGGAUUAGAUACCCUGGUAGUCCGCACAGUAAACGAUGGAUGCCCGCUGUUGGUACCUGGUAUCAGCGGCUAAGCGAAAGCAUUAAGCAUCCCACCUGGGGAGUACGCCGGCAACGGUGAAACUCAAAGGGAAUUGACGGGGGCCCGCACAAGCGGAGGAACAUGUGGUUUAA
rnacentral:rRNA from 1 species